rnacentral:lncRNA from 1 species
AAAGCUAAUAGUAAACUCAGAUGUUUAAGAACAGUGAAGAAAUAAUGCUAAGAGAUUGGUUCGUAUAUGUUGAAUGAUUUCAGCAAAGUUUCUUAGCCUCUUUCUUCUUUCUUCAGCCUUUAUAUACUCCAAGACUUGUGAUGUAGCCGUUGCUAGGGUUUUGUCCGUUGGAGUGGCAAUCUUGUAAUAUCAGACUGCUAGGCUGAACAGGGUAGGUG